GCCCAUAUUGACCUGGACCUCUCCACCCGAGUGCCUCCCAGCCGCAUCCUUUUCAUCUCUCUCUCUCGCUCACCUUCCCUGGCACCUUAUCCCUUCUCUCUUCUCUUGCAAUUCGCUCCUCUUUCUUUCAUCUCUUCUCCUAUUUCUUUUAUAUCCUGACAUAUUUGGGAGAAGAGAGCAGCACGCACUGGGCAAGAGAAUUCGAUUUCAAAGCUGGACAUUACUCCUUCACUAGAAUCACAUCAACGCCGCCCAAACGUUGGUCGCCGACGCGUCCUCUUAAUGGUUCAAGGGAGUUGUUUUUUUGGGUUCGUCCUCCCUGGAUCAGAUUCAGAGCAUGCUUAGCCCAAGCAUCUUCGUGGUACAGCCGUAAAAGAGAGAGAGAGAGAGAGAGAGAGAUUAGACUAUACGUUGGACUAAGUUAUUCAAUAUAUAAACAUAUAUCUGUAUACCUCGGCGAGAAAGAAACAAAGUCGUGGAAGCUACUAUUCCUCCUAUUAAAACCUCCCUAAUGAGAAGUAUGUUGGAAAUGAAUGCCAUAUUACGCGAUGAUUAACUAGAACACAUGCAUGAAACUAAAAUAGGAAAAUAACUAAAAAGAGUGCUAAAAAGUUGGAUUUCCACAAACCAAACUCUAAUACUAUCAAUUUAGUGCCUUAUUGUAGAUUUAUGGUAGAUUUGGGGAAAACCUAAUUCUAGGUUUAUGUUGCCAUUACCUCUAGCGAGAUUCUAAUGAUAUAAUUAUAUCCAUGUAAUAUUCAUAUUAUCAUAUAGCCUAAGAUUUGGCCAUAAGCAACGAUAAAUUAAAAUAUUUGCCACUAAGUUUCAUAAUUUUGGAAAUUUAUAUGGUUGUUUAUGAUUUUUUGAGUCUUGCAUGGAAUUUUAAGGGUUAAUUGGAUUAAGGGAAUAAUGUGGAUUUUAGUAUGGUUUUUCGGCCUAUUAAAGGGCUCUACGGGCUAUGCUUUGAUAUUUGGACUGUUUGAGUUCACUAGGUGCUAAAGAGUAUUGUGUUCGAGUAGAAAGAGUCUCUUGCUAGACUUCCUGUAUUUGAUAAGCAACCUAAACCUAACUAGAGUAUUUUUAACUAUAUAUUUCUAAAAUAUAAAAUUAUAUUAAUUUUAUUGAAAAAUAUAUUGGAAAUGUAUAUUUUAUUUUGUGAAAUAGUUUUUUUGAGAUAAAUCGCAUCUUUUUCAAUUAAAUGCUUAGAUUUUCGGACCUUACUAAUCCAUAUCAUGCCAAGUUGGUAUAGCAUCAGAAAGGAGCAUUGUUUGCACGAGAUGUAUGUCAUCACUAGCACACAUCCAUGUCGACAUUCUAUGGUUGGCAUGCGUUAUGCUUAAUAUGACUCAGCACAAUAUUGUUAGCUUUUGGUAAAUACAGAAACUAAAACUGUAACUUUUGUUCUGACCAAAUAUUCUUUGCAUACAUAUAAAGAUUAGAUCUAACAAGAGAAUAUUAUGAUGUUGAAACUCCAGGAUAUCUUCAAAAUUCAUGCGCAUGCAUAGUUAUAGUUUAUUGUUAUGUUUGCAAGGAAAUAAUACUGUUAUUAGAAAACUUUGCACAAAGUCUUGAACUUUGUAUUUUACUUUAUAAAUACUUUGAAAACUAUGUAUGUAUGUCAAAUGCAUGUCAAAUAUCUGAAACUCUUUGGAUUCUCGUUUAUGAUUUGAUGAUUUUAUAAACUGUUGGAGCUAUCAUUGUAAUUAGAAAAUAAGAGGAAAUUGUACUAAUAAAAUAAUUUGAUUUUGUAUUUUUUUUUUGGACUCUCAGUUCGACUAUGUUUACAGGACCUUCCGUUUACCCUUCUUUCUCCCUUUAUCAGAGCACAAGGCAUAGGAGAUAAUAGGUACUGAUUGAGAGAUGAGCCUAGAACAAGGUCCGAGACUUAGUUGGGCUCUAGAUUCUGCUUCCAUACUUCUGUUUUAGAAUUAUGGUUUUAUAGAACUAGUUGGAUCUCUUAAAAAUGGUCAUGCUGACUAAUUUGUAGUUAUAUCAUAAAGUUUACCUUGAGGUUAUUUUGGGAUGGGAGUGUAACCAAUUCAAGUAUCUAGUUAGUUUUGAAAAAUUUUAUCUUGCUUGUUUGACAGAUUGUCGCCUUGCAUGGUGGACCAGGUCCUACGCAUGUCCGACGGGUUGCGACAUGCCUUGGCACAUGUUUUUCGGGUCAGAGGCGUGACAUAUAAAAUCAAAAUACAGCUCAUUUUGACUCACCAUCAAAGGAUUACUGAAAUAUAGGUAUGUCAGAGGUGGUUGUUUGUCUCUAAACAGUAUGGUGAUCAUAACUCAUGCUAUUCUGGAAAAAAAAGAGCAGCAUGUCUGGCUUUUCUGUGGUUGUUUGGUCAAUGCAUGCCUGUGACUGACCUUCCAAAAUGUAUGAUGCCAUUUCUGCAUUUCUGUGUGAUAUAUUCUCAAGUCAUUUCUCUGAAUACAGCUCCUUAUCAAAACUUCAGACAAUGCACAUUUAAUUUUAAAAACAUCUGCUCCUUUCUAUCCAACUUCAAUCCCCAUUUGCGAACAGUAGUUUUCGAGGAGCAGCCAUCUGUGUUUGGGAUGGUGAAAGGCAGCUUGAGACCUGUCAAAAACUACAAGCUUUGCAGCGCAUCGAACAUACAGGUGCUACUUUCCUAAACUACAAGACAUGCAGUUUAUGCGAGAAAAAAACUGAAACUUCUAGUCUUGAUUGACAUAAUCUCUCUAGUGUUCCUGUAUCAAAAAACAACAACACUGCUACCAGCGAGCAAUAGUUUCACAUUUUUUUCAGUACGAUCUCCGACACAAUGCUACCGCUACUGCUGUAAAUUAGCAUACAAAACUGCAGAUGAAGCUUUAUUAAUCAUGUUGAUAUGAAAGUCACCUAUCACGUUGCUGCUGUUUCAGAUGCCACAGGCUCAAGCUCAGAGCAGGUCUAGUUGCUUUAAAUUUGGAUUCCAAGACAAUAUUUUACAAUCGCAGGAGUAACUACAACAUAGUAGCCCAUAAAACAGCAGUGGGCAGGCCAAAACCAUGUAUUAUGUGGGAACGCAAAUGUCCCACAAGAGACGCCGGUGCUAAAUCGAUUCCUCAGGUCAUUCAAAGAGUCGGACAGUUCCAUGAAUUAGAGCAUUACAGAUAGUAAAUUUCCAGCUCCAUGGCUUCAAAACUCUGGAUUUUGGUACAUUACAUGAAACAACAAGUUACAAGCCACAUGCACUUACAACAUGCACCAGCACUGAAAAAUAAAAUGAGAAACAAGACAAUUGCUACAGUGUCCAACACAAACCAAACAACAUUGCAAGGACUGCUCUCCUACCCCUCCACCAUGCUUAUCUCACUUCUGAACAGUCAGCAUCAACAGUUAGCUUUCAGGUCACAACGACCCUUAUACCAUACAAUAUA